rnacentral:rRNA from 1 species
UGUGUAUCAGUACAUGGCAUAUCAAUAAGCGGAGGAAAAGAAACUAACAAGGAUUCCCCUAGUAACGGCGAGUGAAGCGGGAAGAGCUCAAAUUUGAAAUCUUAAAGGGUUUCCCUUUACGAAUUGUAGUUUAAAGAAGUGUUUUCUGUUGGAGUUUCGGUAAAAGUUCUUUGGAAUAGGACAUCAUAGAGGGUGAGAAUCCCGUAUUUGACCGUUACUUUCCAGCUGUGUGAUACACUUUCAAAGAGUCGGAUUGUUUGGGAAUGCAGUCCAAGAUGGGUGGUAAACUUCAUCUAAAGCUAAAUAUUGGCGAGAGACCGAUAGCGAACAAGUACCGUGAGGGAAAGAUGAAAAGAACUUUGAAAAGAGAGUUAAACAGUACGUGAAAUUGUCAAAAGGGAAGCGUUUGACACCAGUGUUGUUUAGUUGAAAAUCAAUUCAAUAGUUUUUGAUUCUAAGUAGUAUUGACUUCAUCAGCUUGCUGCUUUCUUCUCAGAAAUUAUUGAAUGCACUUUUCAGUUAACAAGUCAACAUCAAUUUCUUUUGUUGUAAAAGGGUAAGAGGAAGGUGGCUUGCGCUUCGGCUCAAGUGUUUAUAGCCUUUUAUCUCUGCAAUCGGAGAGAUUGAGGUCUGCAGCGUAGAUCCUUCGGGGUUAGAUACAUUGGUGCUAAGCUAUAGCCUUGUAUAGACAACUUGUUGACUAUGCUCAGUCAUGUAGCUUACUCGCUGAUGCUAUUUACCUACGCUUAGGAUGUUGACAGCAGUAUAGACUGU